CGAUGUCACGCGUUAUUUAACCUGGGGUGAAGUGACGUGUUUGCAAGCGGACAUGUAAGCCCGAAAGUUGGGUAUCGGUCGUGAGCCAUUCGGAACACGUCUGCAUCGAAACGGGAGCUGGAUUCUGGUGCGGCUGACAACGGCAAUAACGACAUGCAGUAAUGAGGAUGGCACCAGUAUAAAGCAACACACUCCACACACUAAACAGAAGCUGCUGCCUGCUACAACAAGGCCAUUGUGUGGGCAUUGGCUGCUACUACAAGAGUCCAUGCCAAGCAUACCUUGGUCAUCACAGGAGCUCCUAUCUACACCAACAGAAAGGGGCUGGAGCUGAAUUUGCAAGGCUUUUACACCACGAACAA
rnacentral:lncRNA from 1 species